rnacentral:rRNA from 1 species
AGAGUUUGAUCCUGGCUCAGGAUGAACGCUAGCUACAGGCUUAACACAUGCAAGUCGAGGGGCAGCAUGGUCUUAGCUUGCUAAGACUGAUGGCGACCGGCGCACGGGUGAGUAACACGUAUCCAACCUGCCUUAUACUCCCGGACAGCCUUCUGAAAGGAAGAUUAAUACGGGAUGGCAUCACGAGCCAGCAUUUUCUCGUGAUUAAAGAAUUUCGGUAUAAGAUGGGGAUGCGUUCCAUUAGAUAGUAGGCGGGGUAACGGCCCACCUAGUCGACGAUGGAUAGGGGUUCUGAGAGGAAGGUCCCCCACAUUGGAACUGAGACACGGUCCAAACUCCUACGGGAGGCAGCAGUGAGGAAUAUUGGUCAAUGGGCGCGAGCCUGAACCAGCCAAGUAGCGUGAAGGAUGACUGCCCUACGGGUUGUAAACUUCUUUUAUAAAGGAAUAAAGUGAGGCACGUGUGCCUUUUUGUAUGUACUUUAUGAAUAAGGAUCGGCUAACUCCGUGCCAGCAGCCGCGGUAAUACGGAGGAUCCGAGCGUUAUCCGGAUUUAUUGGGUUUAAAGGGAGCGUAGAUGGGUUGUUAAGUCAGUUGUGAAAGUUUGCGGCUCAACCGUAAAAUUGCAAUUGAUACUGGCAGCCUUGAGUACAGUUGAGGUAGGCGGAAUUCGUGGUGUAGCGGUGAAAUGCUUAGAUAUCACGAAGAACUCCGAUUGCGAAGGCAGCCUACUAAACUGCCACUGACAUUGAUGCUCGAAAGUGUGGGUAUCAAACAGGAUUAGAUACCCUGGUAGUCCACACGGUAAACGAUGAAUACUCGCUGUUUGCGAUUAUACAGCCAAAGCGGCCAAAGCGAAAGCGUUAAGUAUUCCACCUGGGGAGUACGCCGGCAACGGUGAAACUCAAAGGAAUUGACGGGGGCCCGCACAAGCGGAGGAACAUGUGGUUUAAUUCGAUGAUACGCGAGGAACCUUACCCGGGCUUGAAUUGCACUCGAAUAUAGCGGAAACGUUAUAGCUAGCAAUAGCGAGUGUGAAGGUGCUGCAUGGUUGUCGUCAGCUCGUGCCGUGAGGUGUCGGCUUAAGUGCCAUAACGAGCGCAACCCCUCUCCUUAGUUGCCAUCAGGUGAAGCUGGGCACUCUGGGGACACUGCCACCGUAAGGUGUGAGGAAGGUGGGGAUGACGUCAAAUCAGCACGGCCCUUACGUCCGGGGCUACACACGUGUUACAAUGGCAGGUACAGAGAGAUGGUGUUCUGCAAAGCGCAUCUAAUCCUUAAAGCCUGUCUCAGUUCGGACUGGGGUCUGCAACCCGACCCCACGAAGCUGGAUUCGCUAGUAAUCGCGCAUCAGCCAUGGCGCGGUGAAUACGUUCCCGGGCCUUGUACACACCGCCCGUCA